GAAACUUACCAGGUCCAGACAUUGUGAGGAUUGACAGAUUGAGAGCUCUUUCUUGAUCCGAUGGGUGGUGGUGCAUGGCCGUUCUUAGUUGGUGGAGUGAUUUGUCUGGUUAAUUCCGUUAACGAACGAGACCGCAGCCUGCUAAAUAGCGACGCGAACCCUCCGUUCGCUGGAGCUUCUUAGAGGGACAACUUGUCUUCAACAAGUGGAAGUUCGCGGCAAUAA
rnacentral:rRNA from 1 species